UUUUGUGGAUGAGCAAAGACGGUGGUUUUUUGAGAUGGAAUCUACUCCUGGUGAAGAUGCUGAGAA
rnacentral:pre_miRNA from 1 species